rnacentral:rRNA from 1 species
AUUGAACGCUAGCGGGAGGCCUUACACAUGCAAGUCGAACGGCAGCGCGGACUUCGGUCUGGCGGCGAGUGGCGAACGGGUGAGUAAUGUAUCGGAACGUGCCCAGUAGCGGGGGACAACCACUCGAAAGAGUGGCUAAUACCGCAUACGCCCUACGGGGAAAGGGGGGAGUCGCAAGACCUCUCACUAUUGGAGUGGCCGAUAUCGGAUUAGCUAGUUGGUGGGGUAAAGGCCUACCAAGGCGACGAUCCGUAGCUGGUUUGAGAGGACGACCAGCCACACUGGGACUGAGACACGGCCCAGACUCCUACGGGAGGCAGCAGUGGGGAAUUUUGGACAAUGGGGGAAACCCUGAUCCAGCCAUUCCGCGUGUGCGAUGAAGGCCUUCGGGUUGGUUAAAGCGACUUUUGGCUAGGAAAGAAAUACGUGUGGGUUAAG